UGGAGCAUGUGGUUUAAUUCGAAGCAACGCGAAGAACCUUACCAGGUCUUGACAUCCCGAUGCUAUUUCUAGAGAUAGAAAGUUACUUCGGUACAUCGGUGACAGGUGGUGCAUGGUUGUCGUCAGCUCGUGUCGUGAGAUGUUGGGUUAAGUCCCGCAACGAGCGCAACCCCUAUUGUUAGUUGCCAUCAUUCAGUUGGGCACUCUAGCGAGACUGCCGGUAAUAAACCGGAGGAAGGUGGGGAUGACGUCAAAUCAUCAUGCCCCUUAUGACCUGGGCUACACACGUGCUACAAUGGUUGGUACAACGAGUUGCGAGUCGGUGACGGCGAGCUAAUCUCUUAAAGCCAAUCUCAGUUCGGAUUGUAGGCUGCAACUCGCCUACAUGAAGUCGGAAUCGCUAAUAAUCGCGGAUCAGCACGCCGCGGUCGAAUACGUUCCGGGCCUU
rnacentral:rRNA from 1 species